rnacentral:rRNA from 1 species
ACGGGUGAGUAACACGUAUCCAACCUGCCGUCUACUCUUGGACAGCCUUCUGAAAGGAAGAUUAAUACAAGAUGGCAUCAUGAGUCCGCAUGUUCACAUGAUUAAAGGUAUUCCGGUAGACGAUGGGGAUGCGUUCCAUUAGACAGUAGGCGGGGUAACGGCCCACCUAGUCUUCGAUGGAUAGGGGUUCUGAGAGGAAGGUCCCCCACAUUGGAACUGAGACACGGUCCAA